GGAGAUCUUCAAAGGGGGCUGUUCCAUAAGCUAGUAUGCCGGGCAGAACGGCUGGACCUUGCCUCGCAUUGUGCUGCUGGCAGGGAAUACCUUGGCAAGCAGCUCCAGUCCGAGCAGCCCCAGACCGCUGCCGCCCGAAGCUAAGCCUGCCUCUGGCCUUCCCCUCCGCCUCAAUGCAGAACCAGUAGUGGGAGCACUGUGUUUAGAGUUAAGAGUGAACACUGUUUGAUUUUACUUGGAAUUUCCUCUGUUAUAUAGCUUUUCCCAAUGCUAAUUUCCAAACAACAACAACAAAAUAACAUGUUUGCCUGUUAAGUUGUAUAAAAGUAGGUGAUUCUGUAUUUAAAGAAAAUAUUACUGUUACAUAUACUGCUUGC
rnacentral:lncRNA from 10 species